rnacentral:rRNA from 1 species
UACGAAGGGAGCUAGCGUUGUUCGGAAUUACUGGGCGUAAAGGGCGCGUAGGCGGACAUCUAAGUCAGGGGUGAAAUCCCAGGGCUCAACCCUGGAAUUGCCUUUGAUACUGGACGUCUCGAGUUCGGGAGAGGUGAGUGGAAUUCCGAGUGUAGAGGUGAAAUUCGUAGAUAUUCGGAGGAACACCAGAAGCGAAGGCGGCUCACUGGCCCGAUACUGACGCUGAGGCGCGAAAGCGUGGGGAGCGAGUCCGG